rnacentral:rRNA from 1 species
GGUGAACGCUGGCGGCGUGCCUAAUACAUGCAAGUCGAGCGAGCAGACGAGGAGCUUGCUCCUCUGACGUUAGCGGCGGACGGGUGAGUAACACGUGGAUAACCUACCUAUAAGACUGGGAUAACUUCGGGAAACCGGAGCUAAUACCGGAUAAUAUAUUGAACCGCAUGGUUCAAUAGUGAAAGACGGUUUUGCUGUCACUUAUAGAUGGAUCCGCGCCGCAUUAGCUAGUUGGUAAGGUAACGGCUUACCAAGGCAACGAUGCGUAGCCGACCUGAGAGGGUGAUCGGCCACACUGGAACUGAGACACGGUCCAGACUCCUACGGGAGGCAGCAGUAGGGAAUCUUCCGCAAUGGGCGAAAGCCUGACGGAGCAACGCCGCGUGAGUGAUGAAGGUCUUCGGAUCGUAAAACUCUGUUAUUAGGGAAGAACAAAUGUGUAAGUAACUAUGCACGUCUUGACGGUACCUAAUCAGAAAGCCACGGCUAACUACGUG